CUCUGGGACGUUGACGUCUAACCUUCAUGAACAUGCUGAAUCCGGUCUUCAGCAGGUCCGUCAGCCCUCCUGACAUGUGUUCGAUGUCGGGGCAUUCGGGUCGGUCGGGGUGGAAAACUUCCUCCAGGAUCUGUCGCAGGAACGGGCGGUACGAGGCCUGGAGGGAAUGCAAACACACGGGAAGGACAGUUACGGACCAAAACAACACUUCAAGCGGCGAGAGCCGUGAUUAACUCUCUUUGUAUACGAUUAAUACGAAGCCCACUUUCCUCUGUGCUCAUCAUCCGCUUCGUAGUGUUGUGUAAAAUAUCUCUCCACAGAGUUAUAAACAGCUCAUCUCGGCCAAACAGCCUGUUGACUUAUGAGUCACGUCAGGAAGAGGAGCUCAAACACCUCUGCAGCCAAGACAGAAAAAGCCAGUAGAUGUGGCUAAAAGCAGAAAUUACGAGUGGGCGACGAAGCGGAUAAAUCAAUUUAGGAAUCAACACUUGGAAACGAAAUAUGAAACGAGAGGCUGUUUUAAAGCCGGAGAUGUGAGGAUAUUUCUGGAUUUAUGAAAAUUUAGCGCAUAUUUCGUCACA